GACGAACGCUGGCGGCGUGCUUAACACAUGCAAGUCGAACGGAAAGGCCCUGCUUUUGUGGGGUGCUCGAGUGGCGAACGGGUGAGUAACACGUGAGUAACCUGCCCUUGACUUUGGGAUAACUUCAGGAAACUGGGGCUAAUACCGGAUAGGAGCUCCUGCUGCAUGGUGGGGGUUGGAAAGUUUCGGCGGUUGGGGAUGGACUCGCGGCUUAUCAGCUUGUUGGUGGGGUAGUGGCUUACCAAGGCUUUGACGGGUAGCCGGCCUGAGAGGGUGACCGGCCACAUUGGGACUGAGAUACGGCCCAGACUCCUACGGGAGGCAGCAGUGGGGAAUAUUGCACAAUGGGGGGAAGCCUGAUGCAGCGACGUCGCGUGAGGGAUGGAGGCCUUCGGGUUGUGACCCUCUGUUGCCGGUGGUGAAGGCCCUGUCCGUGUGGUGGGGGUGACGGUAGCCGGGGAUGAAGCGCCGGCUAACUACG
rnacentral:rRNA from 1 species